UCAGAAGACAUUUCCAUUGUAUUAAGUUAAUGUGGUCCAGUUUAUUUAAGGCAUCUACAUCAAUACAUGAAGUUGCCCCAUGAAAGGAUGAAACAAACUGUUAACAAUAUAAAGAGAAAUGCUAUUUUGGCAAAUCUAUCAGUUUUCCAGCCAGAUAACAAAUCAGGAUCGAGGAUUAGAGGAACUAACACUGUAGUGACAUAAAUAACAGAUCAGCAGUCUCCACAAGAGAAAUGUCAAAGCGCAAAAGUGACACAAAAAUACUUCCAUAAUGUACAUGAGGCUAUGGGCAUGAACAGGAAUGACAUGGACAUGGAGGGACUUUGAAAAGACUCUGCUUCUAUAACGUUUGGUGUUUGCGUCAGGCCGUUACGUAAAGCAGAAUCCUCAAUCUGUGUUCAUCAAGUACUACAUUCUGGGAAAACAGACAUACUGUAUACUUUCAUUCACAGAAAACAUGACCCAAACGAAAAUCAGGAUUCAGAGAAAGCCUGACACAGUCUAUGAAGGUCUCCUUCACGCGUUAAAGGGAAAGAACGCAGAGUUCAUUCAAACGUCAAGAAAUUAAACCUCAAUAAAACAAACGUCAACUUUCCUGUAACAUUUCCAAUAGAUCAGGUAAAGAAUUGUUUUUUUGUUUUCCAUUAAUCAAUACAUUUUAAUUUUAAAAAAGGAUAAAAGAAAUAAAAUGUGAUUUAAAACAUGAUUGUUUCUGCUUUUUAGUGUCCAAAUAAUAAUAAUAAUAAUAAUAAUAAUGUUAUAAACAUCAUUAUUUUAAGGACACAGUGUGCUGUAGUGGUUUGAGCACUGGACCCUGGACACAAAAAUCAUGAGAAAAUUAUCACUUUAUCGAUUUUGAACUGUCAAGGUUAAGCACCUUUCCUCUCAUUACAUGAUUGGCUAUAGGAAAUCAAGAUUAAAUUUGCAUCCCAGAGCUCAUCAUGUAGCUACACACAAAAGAGGAAGGUCUCGUCUAAUUAAGAGUCUGACGUAGGUGCUUUCACGCGGGUGUUCAUAUGACAGAUUGCACCCUCGUACUCUACAGAGUUUGGUAGGAUCACCUCAGAGUUGAGAAAAUUCCAGGUUUCCCUUAUUCUAUCCAGUGAUUAAACCCUCUAUUAUAGAUGUCGAGAUCUUACAAGUGUACAAAUAUACAUUCAGUAAAAUAUCAAAAUAGAAACUGUGCUUAAGUUCUCUGAUAAAUCAUUGACAGACCGAACACAGUACAGAUAGUCAUCUCUCAUCAUCCAGGCUUUAUGAUUGUACCAUAAAAGCAGCCCGCAGCCCUGAAGGUCAGAGCUCAGAGCCGAAGUUAGGAGAUCCAAGGGCAACGGUUACACAUAUGCUGCAUUUGGGUAGGAAAAAAAUAACUAUUUUGGCUUAGGUUGUGUCUCACAUCUAACCAAUUCCUCAAUGCAACACUUUUUACACGA